rnacentral:rRNA from 1 species
GACGUAGGGCGCGAGCGUUGUCCGGAUUUAUUGGGCGUAAAGAGCUCGUAGGCGGUCUAUCGCGUCGGUCGUGAAAACUUGGGGCUUAACCCUGAGCUUGCGGUCGAUACGGGCAUGACUGGAGUUCGGCAGGGGAGACUGGAAUUCCUGGUGUAGCGGUGAAAUGCGCAGAUAUCAGGAGGAACACCGGUGGCGAAGGCGGGUCUCUGGGCCGAUACUGACGCUGAGGAGCGAAAGCGUGGGGAGCGAACAGG